rnacentral:rRNA from 1 species
UACAGAGGGGGCAAGCGUUGUUCGGAAUUACUGGGCGUAAAGGGCGCGUAGGCGGCCUGUUAAGUCGAACGUGAAAUCCCCGGGCUCAACCCGGGAACUGCGUCCGAUACUGGCAGGCUUGAAUCCGGGAGAGGGAUGCGGAAUUCCCAGUGUAGAGGUGAAAUUCGUAGAUAUUGGGAAGAACACCGGUGGCGAAGGCGGCGAGCUGGUCCAUUACUGACGCUGAGGCGCGACAGCGGUGGGGAGCAAACAGG